UAGACAAUUCCCUGGAAAGGGGGACCCCCUGCCCCUCCACAGCCGCCCUUCUCCUCAGAGAUGGCCGUGUGUCCACCCUCAGAUAUUUCCCUGGAAACGGGCACCCCCUGCACCUCCGGAGCCCCCCUCGUCCCCUCAGGCCUCCCCCUCUUGCCCUCAGGACAAAGGGAUCCAGGUCAAUAAGAAGUCGGAUUUUGGAGAGAACACAGGACAGGCUACACAACCCCCUGAGAUUCCCUCCCGCCCCAAGGGGAUUUAGCAACCCCAAAAACCUCACACUGCUGCAGGUGCAGAAGCUUUGAUUCCUCAUGUAACUAAGGAAGCUCUGAGAUUCCUGGGCAACUUCAGUGCCAACAGAUGCCCAACAACACGAUGCUCUCUAAAGCUAGCUUGCACAAACCUGACCAGCUGCCAGACAAGCAUCAAUGCAGCAACAACAGCAGGACUGUUUUCCCAGGUUACCUGGAAGGGGAAUGUUUCCUGCCCACAGGUUCAGCCAGUGCUGGCCUCUUAAGACUGUCAAGCAGGGAAGGGAGCGAGGGGGAGAAAAUCAGCUCUCUUAGACAAUAACUCUCCAGGGAAGGGGUGUAAAAGCCUUGUCAUGCUGAAGCCUGACUUAAAACUUUAUAUUGCAAGUAGGCUGUGGUUUGGGUUUUUUUCUC